rnacentral:rRNA from 1 species
UACGUAGGGUGCAAGCGUUAAUCGGAAUUACUGGGCGUAAAGCGUGCGCAGGCGGUUUUGUAAGUCUGACGUGAAAUCCCCGGGCUCAACCUGGGAAUUGCGUUGGAGACUGCAAGGCUGGAGUCUGGCAGAGGGGGGUAGAAUUCCACGUGUAGCAGUGAAAUGCGUAGAGAUGUGGAGGAACACCGAUGGCGAAGGGCAGCCCCCUGGGUCAAGACUGACGCUCAUGCACGAAAGGCGUGGGGAGCAAACAGG